GAGGGUAUAGCUCAGUGGUAGAGCAUGUGCUUAGCACAUGUGAGGUCCUAGGUUCAAUCCCCAGUACUUCCA
rnacentral:tRNA from 1 species